GGAAUGGUAGCUCAGAGGUAGAGCAAUCGGCUGCAGUCCGAUAGGUCAUGGCAAUUCCCGUUCGUUCCU